CCCUAUGGGGUGCAGCAGGCGGAUAUAUAAGUCGGAGGUGAAAUUCUGAUGCUCAACAUCCGCCGUGCCUUCGAUACUGUAUAUCUAGAGUCAAGUUGGAGUAGGCGGAAUGUGUUGUGUAGCGGUGAAAUGCUUAGAUAUAACACAGAACACCGAUCGCGAAGGCAGCUUACUAAACUUUGACUGACGCUCAUGCACGAAAGCGUGGGGAUAAAACA
rnacentral:rRNA from 1 species